rnacentral:rRNA from 1 species
CCUACGGGAGGCAGCAGUAGGGAAUAUUGCUCAAUGGGGGAAACCCUGAAGCAGCAACGCCGCGUGGAGGAUGAAGGUUUUCGGAUUGUAAACUCCUUUUGUUAGAGAAGAUAAUGACGGUAUCUAACGAAUAAGCACCGGCUAACUCAGUGCCAGCAGCCGCGGUAAUACGGAGGGUGCAAGCGUUACUCGGAAUCACUGGGCGUAAAGAGCGCGUAGGCGGGGUAGCAAGUCAGAUGUGAAAUCCUAUGGCUUAACCGUAGAACUGCAUUUGAAACUGUUAUUCUAGAGUAUGGGAGAGGUAGGUGGAAUUCUUGGUGUAGGGGUAAAAUGCGUAGAGAUCAAGAAGAAUACUGAUUGCGAAGGCGACCUGCUAGAACAUCACUGACGCUGAUGCGCGAAAGCGUGGGGAGCAAACAGGAUUAGAUACCCCUGUAGUC